UGGGGAAUAUUGGACAAUGGGGGCAACCCUGAUCCAGCAAUGCCGCGUGUGUGAAGAAGGUCUUCGGAUUGUAAAGCACUUUCGACGGGGACGAUGAUGACGGUACCCGUAGAAGAAGCCCCGGCUAACUUCGUGCCAGCAGCCGCGGUAAUACGAAGGGGGCUAGCGUUGCUCGGAAUGACUGGGCGUAAAGGGCGUGUAGGCGGUUUACACAGUCAGAUGUGAAAUCCCCGGGCUUAACCUGGGAGCUGCAUUUGAUACGUGUAGACUAGAGUGUGAGAGAGGGUUUGUGGAAUUCC
rnacentral:rRNA from 1 species